CCUGGUGCUUGCACCGGGUGGAUGAGUGGCGAACGGGUGAGUAACACGUGAGUAACCUGCCCCUGACUUCGGGAUAAGCCCGGGAAACUGGGUCUAAUACCGGAUACGACUGCCGGACGCAUGUCUGGUGGUGGAAAGUUUUUUCGGUUGGGGAUGGGCUCGCGGCCUAUCAGUUUGUUGGUGAGGUAAUGGCUCACCAAGACGACGACGGGUAGCCGGCCUGAGAGGGCGACCGGCCACACUGGGACUGAGACACGGCCCAGACUCCUACGGGAGGCAGCAGUGGGGAAUAUUGCACAAUGGGGGAAACCCUGAUGCAGCGACGCAGCGUGCGGGAUGACGGCCUUCGGGUUGUAAACCGCUUUCAGCAGGGAAGAAGCGCAAGUGACGGUACCUGCAGAAGAAGUACCGGCUAACUACGUGCCAGCAGCCGCGGUAAUACGUAGGGUACGAGCGUUGUCCGGAAUUAUUGGGGCGUAAAGAGCUCGUAGGUGGUUGGUCACGUCUGCUGUGGAAACGCAACGCUUAACGUUGCGCGUGCAGUGGGUACGGGCUGACUAGAGUGCAGUAGGGGAGUCUGGAAUUCCUGGUGUAGCGGUGAAAUGCGCAGAUAUCAGGAGGAACACCGGUGGCGAAGGCGGGACUCUGGGCUGUAACUGACACUGAGGAGCGAAAGCAUGGGGAGCGAACAGGAUUAGAUACCCUGGUAGUCCAUGCCGUAAACGUUGGGCACUAGGUGUGGGGGGCAUUCCACGUUCUCCGCGCCGUAGCUAACGCAUUAAGUGCCCCGCCUGGGGAGUACGGUCGCAAGGCUAAAACUCAAAGGAAUUGACGGGGGCCCGCACAAGCGGCGGAGCAUGCGGAUUAAUUCGAUGCAACGCGAAGAACCUUACCAAGGCUUGACAUACACCGGACCGUCCUGGAAACAGGUCUUCUUCUUUGAAGCUGGUGUACAGGUGGUGCAUGGUUGUCGUCAGCUCGUGUCGUGAGAUGUUGGGUUAAGUCCCGCAACGAGCGCAACCCUCGUUCUAUGUUGCCAGCACGUGAUGGUGGGAACUCAUAGGAGACUGCCGGGGUCAACUCGGAGGAAGGUGGGGAUGACGUCAAAUCAUCAUGCCCUUUAUGUCUUGGGCUUCACGCAUGCUACAAUGGCUGGUACAGAGAGAGGCGAACCCGUGAGGGCAAGCGAAUCCCUUAAAGCCAGUCUCAGUUCGGAUCGUAGUCUGCAAUUCGACUACGUGAAGUCGGAGUCGCUAGUAAUCGCAGAUCAGCAACGCUGCGGUGAAUACGUUCCCGGGCCUUGUACACACCGCCCGUCAAGUCACGAAAGUCGGUAACACCCGAAGCCGGUGGCCUAACCCCUUG
rnacentral:rRNA from 1 species